GUACACUUUACAUAUUGAAUAGUGACGUUUAAUAUUAUUUUCAAUUUUAUAGAUAACUUCCUCCAACUCCUAAGGGCUAGAUGACCGUUUAAUUGCAGUUAACAAAUCAUGAAAUUUUUAUUUAUAAAGCGGUGAAAAUUUCUAUUAUUACAUGAUUAUGAGAAAAAACAUGGUUCAAAUUCUCAGUUUUGUCCAUGCUUUGAUCCUCUUUCUUUCUUUAUUUCUUGUUGCAAAAGUUCGCACUCCAUGUGUUUCUGAUGAUGAUUGUCUAGAAGCAUUUUUACCUCCAAUUUGGAAGUGCGUUCAUAAUUUUUGUGAGUUCAAUAUACGAAACAUAUUCAAUUAAGUUUCAAAAUAAUUAAGUUACAUCUAAGUGUAUAGUUCUGUGUGUAUAUCAUAAAGUUUGUACCUUUAUAAUUUACGUCAAAGUUUAAUUUGUGUUUCUCGGGUGUUUCAAUUUUUAUGACAAGCUCUGAAGUGUAUUAUUAUAUUAUGCAAGUAUUCUUACCUUAGUUUGAAUAUAAAUGCAAAACAUAAAUUAUUUA